CGAGGGAAGGGGCCACGAAGAGGCUGGUUCCGCUCCUCUCAUGUCAAACUGCUCCCUCCCACAAGCAGCAAGACUACCCCUGCACCUGUCCCAGGUCAUCGCCAGGUACAACUUCACAGCAGCCAAUUAGGACUUGAUGAGCUUCUCCAAUUGUCAGCUGAUCAACGUUAUGGACAGUGACAACCCUGAUUGGUGGAUUGGAGAGGUCAACGGGGUCACAGGGCUGUUGCCAACCAAUUACGUCACCAUGACCACUGAGUCCGACCCCAGGCAGUAAUGAAGGUAACGCUGGCACCUUGUCCUCUCCCUCCUCUUACUUCUUCUUCUCUGAGCCAAUCCUGGAAGCCUCACCUUUCAUCUGCCAGCGAGACCCUCCUCUUCGUCCUCCUCAUCUUCCUCCUCCUCUUCCUACACCCUGCUUGUAUCUCCUUUAGAAUGCUUUUUGUUCGUCUAUCCUCACUCUUUAUUUCUCUCUCUCUCCUCUAUCAUAACUAGUUCUCUCUCCUCUAUCAUAACUAGUUCUCUCUCCUCUAUCAUAACUAGUUAUCUCUCCUCUAUCAUAACUAGUUAUCUCUCCUCUAUCAUAACUAGUUCUCUCCUCUAUCAUAACUAGUUGUCUCUCUCUAUCAUUACGAGUUCUCUCUCUCGCUCAUAACUAGUUCUCUCUCUCUAUCAUAACUUGUUCUCUCUCUCUCUAUCAUAACUAGUUAUCUCUCUCUCUAUCAUAACUAGUUCUCUCUCUCUCUAUCAUAACUAGUUAUCUCUCCUCUAUCAUAACUAGUUCUCUCUCCUCUAUCGUAACUAGUUGUCUCUCCUCUAUCAUAACUAGUUGUCUCUCUCUCUAUCAUUACGAGUUCUCUCUCUCCUAUUUCUCUGCUCUCUCUACCUGACUGUUCUUAUCUUCUCUACCAUAACUAGUUCUCUCCUAUUUCUCUGCUCUCUCUUCCUUGGCUGUUCUUAUCUUCUCUACCUAGGGAGAGCGGUUAGAUACAUGACCUAUGUUAACUAUUAUCUCCUGUUCCUCUGAAAUGAUGUCAAAAUCAUGGUUUGAAUUGAUUUAGACUAGAAUAUAAAGAUGUGUUAGAAGAAAUCUCUGAGAAUGUGCUACUCUAGUAUUUUGAUGUUGUAUACAACAAUGGACAUAAUAUGUACUAAAUAAAAAUAAUUUUGUUUUGUAA